rnacentral:rRNA from 1 species
UACAGAGGUCUCGAGCGUUAGGCGGAAUCACUGGGCUUAAAGCGUGUGUAGGCGGAUCGUUAAGUGCCUUGUGAAAUCCCACGGCUCAACCGUGGAACUGCUUGGCAUACUGGCGGUCUUGAGCAACCUAGGGGCGAGCGGAACAAAUGGCGGAGCGGUGAAAUGCGUAGAUAUCAUUUGGAACGCCAAUGGUGAAAACAGCUCGCUGGGGGUUUGCUGACGCUGAGACACGAAAGCCAGGGGAGCAAACGGG